rnacentral:rRNA from 1 species
GGGUUGUGAGGUUAAGCGACUAAGCGUACACGGUGGAUGCCCUGGCAGUCAGAGGCGAUGAAGGACGUGCUAAUCUGCGAUAAGCGUCGGUGAGGUGAUAUGAACCGUUAUAACCGGCGAUUUCCGAAUGGGGAAACCCAGUGUGUUUCGACACACUAUCAUUAACUGAAUCCAUAGGUUAAUGAGGCGAACCGGGGGAACUGAGACAUCUAAGUACCCCGAGGAAAAGAAAUCAACCGAGAUUCCCCCAGUAGCGGCGAGCGAACGGGGAGGAGCCCAGAGCCUGAAUCAGUGUGUGUGUUAGUGGAAGCGUCUGGAAAGGCGCGCGAUACAGGGUGACAGCCCCGUACACAAAAAUGCACAUAUUGUGAGCUCGAUGAGUAGGGC